rnacentral:lncRNA from 1 species
GAACCUCAUAUGUUCUUUCAUUUUGAUUGUUUUGAAGUAUAAAGCUUGCUGGUGGCAAUUUACCCCAGUGUGACUAUCGGGAGCAGUGAAAUCUGCUGGAGAGAAGCCACAUGUACAUUUUUCUCAGUAAAAUAGUUUUGUGCUAUCAUCACCAGAGCCAGCAAUUCAACCUAAAUUCUGAGUGUAAUGGAAGCCGUUAAUCACUAUCAAGUUCAUCAUUUUUUUUUCAUGGCAAGUAAUAUUCAUAUCAGUGAUUGCUAUUCCACUAAGAAAUUCUAAAUGUUUCAUAAAAAUGAAACACCACAUAAUAAGAGACUAAAUCAUAUGAAACAAAAUUUUGACUUUUGAAUGUAUCACUCAAGGCCAAUGGAUGAUAAUUUCUCUUUAUGAUUCUACAGGUAGCUCAUUUAUUUCUUUUCUCAUAUAUUUGACUUAUUAUAGGGCCCUGCAGCCCUUUCUGAGCAUCAUUAACUAUAUUUGUCGAAUCAUUAAUCUAAAAAUUAAAAGCUAUUUAAUACUUUUGUUUCAUCUGCUUAACUAAUUACACAGAAAUAAACCAAUUUUUCUAUUACUUUUCUCGGUGCCUUCUGCAUUUAUACAGCCUUAAUGCAUUGUGCAUAUGUAUAGGUCUUUCUCUUAACCCAAACCCCUGCUGUUGUUCUUUCUGCACACAUGUUAAUGACUCAUGAUCACUAUGACCUCACUAAUCUUUUACAUCUUCUACUCUAAUGACCUUGAUCAAUUCAUUCACUAUACAGAGCUUGUUGUCAUUUGGCUUUGACUUACCAAACUUCAAAGUUUCAUCCCUGACUACUCUUCUAUUCUCAUUUUCUUCCUCUUCUUCCUUAAGUGCAUGAUGACAUCAUUUCCUCCACCUCUCUGAAUAUUUUCAAGAUAUUUCUUUCCAUCAUUGCUUGCUCCUCUCUAUAUAUUCCGAACCCAGUGGGCAGAUACUCUACAGUUAUGCUCAUUAAUCAUAAAAAUCACAAAUAUAUAGUUUCAGCUUAAACAUCUCUCCUGGGCCACAAACAUAUUUUUCCAGCAUGUUUUCUCAAAUACACUUCCAAAUAAAAAUCCUUAAUACAUCUUCCCCAUCUUGUGUUCUUUAUUCUACUUAAAGCCAUUCAGAAUACAAAUCUUGUCAUCUCUAUUUCUCUCCUUUCUCAUAAUUUUAUUCAAUCAUCAAGACUUGCUAUCUCACUUUCUAUGACUAUAUCAAGCUUAUAUCCUUAUUAAAAAAACAUCCUACAGCAUUGCCUAGUUAAGUACCUCACAAUCUCUCACCUGAAAAAUUGCAACAGCUUUUUAGAAUAGUCUCCUUUUUUCCCUUUUCUCCCUACUGUAGUGAAUCUCUCCAGUCCGAUUUUAUCCUUUCUGUGUUUAAAAUCCUUUAUUAAUUCCAUACUGCAUGCAGAAUGUUGUCUAAACUUUGACUCUAACAUUAAAGCACAUUGACUAUAAAUCCUACUCCAUUUUCCAGAGUUUUUAUCUCAAUUUUUCUACUCCUAAAGUUUACAUUCUAGUCAAACCAAACUACUUUUCCCUUUUUCUGUCUUUCAUUAAAAUAAAUUAUCAUGAUAGUAUAACUUUGAAAAGCUUUGGAGUUUUAUUUUAUCUUAUUUUAGAUUCAGGGAGUACAUGUGCAGUUUUGUCACGUGGGUAUAUUGUGUGACGCUGAGGUUUGAACUUCUAAUGAUUCCCUUACACAAGUAGUGAACAUAAUAUCUGAUAGGUAGUUU